rnacentral:rRNA from 1 species
GAUGAACGCUGGCGGCGUGCUUAACACAUGCAAGUCGAACGGAAAGGCCUCUUUCGGGGGGUACUCGAGUGGCGAACGGGUGAGUAACACGUGAGUAACCUGCCCUUGACUUUGGGAUAACUUCAGGAAACUGGGGCUAAUACCGGAUAGGAUCUCCUGCUGCAUGGUGGGGGUUGGAAAGUUUCGGCGGUUGGGGAUGGACUCGCGGCUUAUCAGCUUGUUUGUGGGGUAGUGGCUUACCAAGGCUUUGACGGGUAGCCGGCCUGAGAGGGUGACCGGCCACAUUGGGACUGAGAAACGGCCCAGACUCCUACGGGAGGCAGCAGUGGGGAAUGUUGCACAAUGGGGGGAACCCUGAUGCAGCAACGCCGUGUGCGGGAUGACGGCCUUCGGGUUGUAGACCGCUUUCGCUCAUGACGAAGCUUUGUGUGACGGUAGUGGGUAAAGAAGCACCGGCUAACUACGUG